GACGAACGCUGGCGGCGUGCCUAAUACAUGCAAGUUGAGCGCUGAAGGUUGGUACUUGUACCAACUGGAUGAGCAGCGAACGGGUGAGUAACGCGUGGGGAAUCUGCCUUUGAGCGGGGGACAACAUUUGGAAACGAAUGCUAAUACCGCAUAAAAACUUUAAACACAAGUUUUAAGUUUGAAAGAUGCAAUUGCAUCACUCAAAGAUGAUCCCGCGUUGUAUUAGCUAGUUGGUGAGAUAAAGGCUCACCAAGGCGAUGAUACAUAGCCGACCUGAGAGGGUGAUCGGCCACAUUGGGACUGAGACACGGCCCAAACUCCUACGGGAGGCAGCAGUAGGGAAUCUUCGGCAAUGGACGAAAGUCUGACCGAGCAACGCCGCGUGAGUGAAGAAGGUUUUCGGAUCGUAAAACUCUGUUGGUAGAGAAGAACGUUGGUGAGAGUGGAAAGCUCAUCAAGUGACGGUAACUACCCAGAAAGGGACGGCUAACUACGUG
rnacentral:rRNA from 1 species